rnacentral:tRNA from 2 species
UCCUGGUUGGCUCAGUUGGUAGAGCGCUCCACUGUGAAUGGAUAAAUGUCUGGGUCGAUACCAGGACCAGGCG